GAAAAAGCAGGGGCCUCUUGUCGAUUACUGUGAAUGGGUCUCUCGUAAACUUCAAGAAAAUAAAACUUGGCAUUGUUAUUGGGUGAACCUUUUGAGCUUACAAUAGAAAGUUUAUUAGAAAUGAUGUGUCAGAA